GAGAAACCUGCCCUGAAGACCGGGAUAGCCCGGGGAAACCCGGAUUAAUACCGGAUAUUCUCUACAGAUCGCAUGGUCUGCUGAGGAAAUGCCUUUGUGCUUCGGGAUGGUCCCGCGACCUAUCAGCUAGUUGGUGAGGUAAUGGCUCACCAAGGCAACGACGGGUAGCUGGUCUGAGAGGACGAUCAGCCACACUGGGACUGAGACACGGCCCAG
rnacentral:rRNA from 1 species